UUAUUUGAGAGUUUGAUCCUGGCUCAGGAUGAACGCUGGCGGCGUGCCUAACACAUGCAAGUUGAGCGAUUUACUUCGGUAAAGAGCGGCGGACGGGUGAGUAACGCGUGGGUAACCUACCCUGUACACACGGAUAACAUACCGAAAGGUAUGCUAAUACGGGAUAAUAUAUUUGAGAGGCAUCUCUUGAAUAUCAAAGGUGAGCCAGUACAGGAUGGACCCGCGUCUGAUUAGCUAGUUGGUAAGGUAACGGCUUACCAAGGCGACGAUCAGUAGCCGACCUG
rnacentral:rRNA from 1 species